AGGCUGGGUUUUUGUUCCUCUUGCAUAGACAUUGAAGAUCUCUUCUCAAAAGGCUGUGGAACCCCUUUUCCGCAAAUUUGAGAGAAAGAGAGAGAUUGAGAAAUUUCUGAUUGGGAGAGAAAUUGAAAUUAGCAAAGAAAACAAGACUAAAUCCCUAAAAUUGCAUGAGUGACCAUUGUUGUUGGAGUGGAGGUUUGAAUUUUGAGAAGA